rnacentral:misc_RNA from 1 species
GAUGAAGAACGUAGCGAAAUGCGAUAAGUAGUGUGAAUUGCAGAAUUCAGUGAAUCAUCGAAUCUUUGAACGCACAUUGCGCCCUUUGGUAUUCCAAAGGGCAUGCCUGUUCGAGCGUCAUUUGUACCCUCAAGCUUUGCUUGGUGUUGGGCAUCUUGUCUCUAGCUUUGCUGGAGACUCGCCUUAAAGUAAUUGGCAGCCGGCCUACUGGUUUCGGAGCGCAGCACAAGUCGCACUCUCUAUCAGCAAAGGUCUAGCAUCCACUAAGCCUUUUUUUCAACUUUUGACCUCGGAUCAGGUAGGGAUACCCGCUGAACUUAAGCAUAUCAAUAAGCGGAGGA